GAUGAACGCUGGCGGCGUGCCUAACACAUGCAAGUCGAACGGUGAAACGCCUACCUUUUUCGUGUGUGGGUAGCGGUGGCGGACGGGGUAGUAACUCGAUAGUAACCUGCUCCCUCCUGGUGGAUAACGGCAUGAAAGUGUGGCUAAUACGGGAUAUUCUGGACCGGUCGCAUCAUGGGUCCGGGAAAGAUUUUGUUUCGGUUGGAGAUGGUCUCGCGGCGUAUUAGCUUGUUGGUGGGGUGACGGCUGACCAAGGCGACGAUGCGUAGCCGGCCUGAGAGGGUGAUCGGCCACACUAGAAGUGAGACACGGUCCAGACUCCUACGGGAGGCAGCAGUAGGGAGUAUUGGUGAAUGGGCGGAAGCAUGCUGGAGCAACGCCGCGUGGGUGAUGAAGGUCUUCGGCUUGUAAAGCACUUUUAUCGGGAAAGAAGAAGGGCUGCAUUGUUUGUGGGUGUGUUGACGGUAGCUAAAUAAGAAGCGCCGGCUAACUACGUG
rnacentral:rRNA from 1 species